UACAGAGGUCCCAAGCGUUGUUCGGAUUCAUUGGGCGUAAAGGGUGCGUAGGCGGCGCGGUAAGUCGGGUGUGAAAUCUCGGGGCUUAACUCCGAAACUGCAUUCGAUACUGCCGUGCUUGAGGACUGGAGAGGAGACUGGAAUUUACGGUGUAGCGGUGAAAUGCGUAGAUAUCGUAAGGAAGACCAGUGGCGAAGGCGGGUCUCUGGACAACUCCUGACACUGAGGCACGAAAGCUAGGGGAGCAAACAGG
rnacentral:rRNA from 1 species